UGGCCACCCAUAUUGCCACCUUAGCAUGACUGUGCAGUUUUCCCUGUGUACUGCAAUCUCAUUGGCCACCUGUGUAUAUGCCAGGCUCAACCACCACUAUAAAAGUUAUUCUGUGAGGCUGGAGUAGGGUCGUCAUCGUUGGGGUCAUCGUUGUCGGGGUCAUCGUCGUCAUUGUCGCAUCUUUGGAAGAGAUGGCCCUGACUGACCUUAACAUUGGGGCUCAUCUGGGAUCAAACAAAGAGAACUGAGCCAGCAUCAGAAUUUCUGGGAAAAGCCUCCAGAGAUGGAUUCUGCCUUAAGGGAAACUCAUAUGGGAGA